rnacentral:rRNA from 1 species
GAUGAACGCUGGCGGCGUGCCUAAUACAUGCAAGUCGAGCGAACAGACGAGGAGCUUGCUCCUCUGACGUUAGCGGCGGACGGGUGAGUAACACGUGGAUAACCUACCUAUAAGACUGGGAUAACUUCGGGAAACCGGAGCUAAUACCGGAUAAUAUAUUGAACCGCAUGGUUCAAUAGUGAAAGACGGUUUUGCUGUCACUUAUAGAUGGAUCCGCGCCGCAUUAGCUAGUUGGUAAGGUAACGGCUUACCAAGGCGACGAUGCGUAGCCGACCUGAGAGGGUGAUCGGCCACACUGGAACUGAGACACGGUCCAGACUCCUACGGGAGGCAGCAGUAGGGAAUCUUCCGCAAUGGGCGAAAGCUUGACGGAGCAACGCCGCGUGAGUGAUGAAGGUCUUCGGAUCGUAAAACGCUGUUAUUAGGGAAGAACAAAUGUGUAAGUAACUAUGCACGUCUUGACGGUACCUAAGCAGAAAGCCACGGCUAACUACGU